rnacentral:lncRNA from 1 species
AAAAAGUUAACCCAACAACCAUUUCCUCCAAGAAACCAGAAGAUUCCAAAGAAAAAGAAAAGAAAAGAAAAAAGUUCAACACCACCAUCAAUACCUCAACUCAAACACCUUUCUUUCACAUUUUUUGUUUGUUGGUUAUCUUCAGUAUCAAUAUUCAAUACCAACAACAAUCUUGAAAAAAGAAAAACCAAGUUAGAAACUUUCUCCAAACCCUAGCCCUAAAUUUCAAGAAAACCCAG